GUGAUGUUCCAUUACAGAGGGCAAUGGAUAACAAAGACGAUGCAGAGAAAUUUACGUUUGACUUGAUGAAGAUUGCAAAGACUACUUUGAGUUCCAAAAUAUUAUCUCAAGAUAAGGAACAGUUUGCCCAGUUGGCUGUUGAUGCUGUUAUGAGGCUAAAGGGCAGCACAAACUUAGA